rnacentral:rRNA from 1 species
CACGUAGGGUGCGAGCGUUGUCCGGAAUUAUUGGGCGUAAAGAGCUCGUAGGCGGUGUGUCGCGUCGGCCGUGAAAACCUGCAGCUUAACUGUGGGCUUGCGGUCGAUACGGGCAUCACUGGAGUUCGGCAGGGGAGAAUGGAAUUCCCGGUGUAGCGGUGAAAUGCGCAGAUAUCAGGAGGAACACCGGUGGCGAAGGCGGGACUCUGGGCCGAUACUGACGUGAGGAGCGAAAGCGUGGGGAGCAAACAGG